AUUGCUUCUCGGCCUUUUGGCUAAGAUCAAGUGUAAAUGUAUAAAAACAUUUACACAUUUAUUUAAAUGUAUAAAAACAUUUACACAUU
rnacentral:snRNA from 1 species